AGCUGAUCUUAUUAUAACUCAACUCUUCUAUGAUAUUGAUAUUUUCCUCAAAUUCUUCAAUGAUUGCCGCCAAAUUGAAACUAAUUGCCCCAUUUUUCGGGUAUAAUGCCCAUUAACAAUUAUAAGGGCUUCUUGCGCAUGACUAGAUUUUGCAAGACUAAGGUACAGGAAUCUUAUUGAAAGAGUUUUAAGAGCUAGACUUAUUUAUGGGAGCCCAAAUAUAAACAAAAUUGUGAGCUUUGAGUACAUGAAUCAUCAAUUGGUAUGGAAUGAAUUCUCGAUAUCUUUCUGUGUUCACUUGAUGGCAAUAACAGCCCCGUGGACAUGGAAGUCCCAACAAAACUGACGGGAAGAGGCUACGUCGUCCUUACCAGUAAAAAAUAUUCAAGGUGGAGAUCAAUUUUGCUACAAAAAUCCCAAUACAGAAACAAUGGUAAUAGCAGCCCCAGUGGACAUGAAAGCCCCAACGAAACUGACAGGAAGAGGCUACGUCGUCCUUACCAGUCAAAGAAAAUUCAAGGUGGAGAUUAAUUUUUCUGCCAAAAUCCCAAUGCAGGCAAUUGCAAAUGCUCUGCAUGGUCAAGAGUCGGGGAACUCUCAAGUAGCAUUGAGA